CCGGAUCAUAGGUCACCAGGAGGAGGAUCCCUAACAGUGAUGCAUGAGCUCUCUGCUGUCACUGGCUAGUCAUCGCCACGAGUUCUCAUGGACAAAGGGCCCGCGGCUCUUGGUGAUCCCAGGAUGCCGUUGGGCUCUGUGAUGUCAUGGAAAUUCUCAGCAGCUCACACACAGGACACGCACUUGUCAAUUAGCUUUGAGCUCACACGUCAAAAGAGACAGGUCUGUGGUUUCACAUUGCCCUUCCGGGAGACAACUCAUCUUGGCCAAUAACCAGCAUUAGCCCGGCCACGUCUUCAGCAGAGCCCUUCCUUCUCCUGAUGGUAAGAGGCUGGAUGGGUUUGUCAUCUCUCGUUUGAAGUACCCAUCAGAACGCUCUCAGGUCAUCUCUACCCACAGCCCCCUGACCACCAAAAUUUGGGAAAACUCCAGAAAUGCAGAUUUGAUUCAAUUCAAUUCAAUGACAUUUAUGAGAUACCUGCUACGCACAAGGAAAUGCAUUAAAAGUUACCGAAGACAUAAGGAUGAAAAAGGCCUGUCCCUUUCCUUCAGGGACUAUAUGGUGAUCUACAGAAAACGACAGACACAAACACAAGUAACUACACAAGACUACAAGACUCAACUUCGAGAGGCAGUGUUCUCAUUGAGUCCAUUUCACAGAUGAGGAAGCUGAGACUCAAGAGGCCAAGCCGUUUCCCAAGGUCACACAGCUGAUGCUGUGCUGCGGCAGGCCCCAGAACGGCAUGCACACCUGCGACUGUGCAUUCGCCACAGGCCCCCUCACUGCCCUAUCCAGUCACCGGAACACGACGGUGAACAGGACAGCCCCGUUGCUGCUUCUUGGAGCAAACACGAUGCUUUGGUAGCAGCGAUGAAGAAAAAUCUCUCAGGGAAGCAGAGGGGG
rnacentral:lncRNA from 1 species